rnacentral:rRNA from 1 species
GACAGAGGGUGCAACGUUGUUCGGAAUUACUGGCGUAAGCGCGAUGUAGGCUGCUCCGAAAGUCGGAUGUGAAAGCCCUGGGCUCAACCUAGGAAGUGCAUUCGAUACUGUGGAGCUGGAGUCCUGGAGAGGAAGGCGGAAUUCUCGGUGUAGAGGUGAAAUUCGUAGAUAUCGAGAGGAACACCGGUGGCGAAGGCGGACCAACUGGACGAAUACUGCGUGAGACACGAAAGCGUGGGGAGCAAACAGG